AGGUUCAAGACUUCUAGAAUCUUCUAGUUAGCUUGUCAGAGAGGCCUGGCCCUGGCAAGUGGACUUAUUCCAGUCUUCACAGUUUUCUUCCACUUCCUACAUCAUCCUACUUUUUCCAAACAUAUCAUCUGUCCCACAGAGCUCAGAGAAAAGUGACUAGCCUGAGCUGAGACGAGCUGGACUAAGAUCCCCAAGCCAAGUCUUUCUGAAGUCAUACUGUUCCUCCUGUUCCACUGAGUGACACCAGUACACUGACCCUGCUUCUGUCCUCUUCACAAAACUGUUAAGACACGUGUGUGUGUGUGUGUGCGCGCAC